AAAAAACGCUCCAUCGCCUUCAUUGCCGACUCCUCUCGAUCUCAUCUCUACUCCAAUACGAGCCGCCGCCGAGAUCCGAGACGAGCCGCCGCCGGCGCUGCCUCCUGCCCUCGUUCGGCGCCGCCGCCGCUCCAUUCCUGCUGCCUUGCCCCUCUCUUCCCUCCAAGCUUGCCGCCGGCGACGAAGCGUACGGUACCGCCACGGCCGUGCUUGAUCGCCUCCAGGAACCCGCCACGCGCGCCGAGGCGAGGGACUCCUGGGCUCCUUCCAUCGCCGCUUUGCCGAUGACCCCGCCGCCGGGCAGGAGGAGUGCUUCCGCGCCUCCAGGAACCCGCCACGCGCAUCAAGUGCUUCUUUGGCACCGGCACAAUUCUGGUCGAGUACCUACUCUUCAGGUUUGUCUUCUUCAGCCUGUAGCUCCUAAACAUCAGAUGGCUGAUUUUUGGAUGAUGCAGGCAUCAAUGGGGAUUCCUAAAUUUGUUCUUCAGUGUCGAAUUAUUAUUGCUUAUACAUAGGUUCAGAAUAUGCGUCCAUUGCUCAGAAAAAAUGCAUUAUACAUCUAUCAUAUAUACAAUUUCGAAGGAUGAUUUUGUGAUCAAUUUCAUACCACAAGAAAUUAUCAAAAUGAGCAAUUAUCGACAUGGCUGAUGCUACCAAUGAUAGCCAUGUUCUUGGUUCUUACAAAAUUACUCGCGCUGAAGUAAUCUGUCUUUAUGUUGGUCCUUCAGCAUUUGUAAUGUUCUAUUUAAUUUAGUACUCUCUGAUUUGAAUUUCAUCCUUCUAACAAUCUUUCUAAUGUUUUCUCUUGCAUCAUAUAUGUGCAAUGCAUUAAAAUAUGGAUGACGUUGUCCUGCACUUUUGUUGUUAAAUGUUCAUUAUUUUUCUCAAUGUUAUGUAGACUCAUGAUUUUUCAGAACAUCAAUUUUCCUAGAGGUCUUGUUUUGGUUUCAAACCUGAGUCGUAAUGGAAAAGUGCCAUCUUGCUAGAACUGAUUCCCAUGCCCAACUAAUUAGCGCCAUCUUUAUAUAACACUCAUAAGCAAUUUUGGAAAUUGCUACAUUGCAUCUAGGUGACAUUGUUUUCCAUUAUCAAGCCGUAAAACUUUCAUACAGAGCGCAUAUAUAUGGUUUGGAGCCAUUAGUAUUGCAUAAAUUUGUUGCACAUACAUGGGAACUUGUUUUCUAUGAUCAGAAGCUAAUUCAGUAAGAAUCUCUUCAGUUUACUGGAAUCGCCUUGAGACGCAGACACCAAUUUUGUAAUUGCUGCUUAUUCCUUUUGGUAUUAUCAAGUUCUAUGUGAUAACCAUCGAGAACAGCGAGCCAAAUAUGAUUCCUUCUUAAAUUAUCAAGGAUAUUAUGCAGAUUAACUUCCAAUGUAUACUGUCCUAUUGUUAACUUUCAAUGUAUAUUGGUGUUCUUGUCGCCAACCAUUAGAAUAUUGUUAACUGGAAAAAAUCUAUCAACGUUUUUGUAGGUAAGAAGUUCAGGAAUCAAGAUGAACUGGCUUUCUACAAGUAAUUAAACUGAUGAUGAAUCACUAUCUUGUCUUCAUUGUUAAGUACAUUUACAGGUUAGGCCUGCUGUCUUUGGCCGAGUGUUAGUUUUAUUAACAAGGAUAUUACAAACAAAAUUUAGAAGGAUUUGGAAGUUUUACACUACAAAAUAAUGGUAGUAGCAUGUUUGGUGCUGAAAGGGUUCUGCUGCAGUGCAAGUUACUUGAGAGAAGAAAUUGUUCAACUUAAAUAAAAUAUGUUCAUUGAUCCAGUGGUAAGCUAUUCCGAAUACAUUUCAUGAUGUGGCUGCUCAUGUCUGAUUCUUGCUCAUCUGGUGUUCAUUUACACACUUGGUAAUGAUUCUACAGUUCUUUUCCAGACUUGGCCAUGGUAAUCAGGAUUCACGGUUUCACUAUUCUCAGUUCGUUUAUGCCAGGCUUGGUCAAGACUAUGCUACAAAAUGGCCUGAAGUGGUACCUUAUAGGCAACGGAUGCAGGGUAAAGAGAGUUGCCAUACGUUUUUACGAGCAGAAUUGUGGCAUGCUUUGUUCAAGAUCUGCUGCAGUCAGUAAAUAUUUGUAUGGUCUGCAAUUCUGCAUACUGCUAAAGGAGUUACAACUGAGCACUGUACUCGGAGAAAAUUACCAAGGUUCUACUUCGUCCUGGCGCCACUCCCAUCCUCGUCUGCCUCAUGGUCGCGGUCCUAGCUGUGGAUGAUGCCAUUGCGCCGUACUCCCUACUUACCCAUGCAUGACAACCGCGCUACUAUGCCGCUAUGCAAUCAGAUGCUUGUCUCCGUCCUUGAAUGAAGGUUUAAUGGCUGGACUAUCAUGCUGUCUACUUGGUUUCAGCUGUACAUAUCUUAAUACUUGACCUUCAGUGAGGACUCGUUUCUUAGGAGAAAUAGUUGGAGAGCAACAAUUGAUUGGUAAGUCUUGCUUGCUAUUAGUUGCAUAAUUAAUAUUGAAAUUCGUUAGUUUGCUUCAAGGUUACAAAGCCAGCAAUGAAUGAGACUAUCAUUAUUAGGAUUGAAGGAUGGUUCAAUGUUGUUGAUAGCAGUAAGAAACACUUGCAAAUGUAUGUCUCGUCUAUUUAAAUGUGUGCUCUAAAAAUAAAUGUACACAACUGUCACAAUAUUGUUUAGUACAAUAUUUGAAUUAGAAGUAGUAGUUUUAUGUUUUUGUUUAGUUUUAUAGUAUCUCAGUUAUGAAAUAAAUCCAAGCCUUCCUUCAAAUAGGUUUUUUGCCUUGAUUUUUAUAAUUCAAUUAAUUUUAGUAUUUUAUAAUAUUCAAACAAAAUGGUUUGUAGAGUCAAUGUUCUCUGACUUAGGUAGCUUUAAUUUAAUGCACUGACGAAGCGUUUUACCUGAGACGAGUGCUGGGAGAGGCUGAUUAGGAUUGCAACGAGGGGGAGACGUCGAUGCUGCCGCUGGCGACCGUUACCACGACCAUGGCUGUGGGAGUGAGGCGCCGGUGACCAUGGCAUCGACCGUGUUGGCCCAUGGUGUUUCUGACUUUCCACGCUCCGUUCCAGGUAGCUGCCAUUCCGAUUGAUCCCCUCCAGGUGAGUGAGCAGCUUACACUCAACCGAUGCAGACAUCCAAAGGUUCGACUAGGUAGCUAGGAACUCAGCUGGGCUCACUUCCGUUUGCAUUCUUUUCUGCAACAUCGGAUACUCCGGGAAGUUCAUGCAUGUUUGUUUUCUGAUAUGGUUUUUCUCAUAAUGCAGGGCACAAAGAUAGGUCUCCUUUUAGUUACCAUAGAUUUUAGUUUUUUUCUGCUUACUGUCUUCUCCACUUUCUUGUCAGAUUAAGCAACUAACAAAUGAAUCUGUGCACAGUUAUACCAUUUUUGCACUCAUUUAUGGGGCCAUCUAUGUUGAGUAUGUGUGUUAUGCUAUUCUGCAACUUAAAUCAAUAGGUAGUGAGAAGAUGCGAUAGUUUGAACCUCCUCCACUUCUUCUGUACAAGAUUGGUCAUUUCCCAAAGGGAUGGAAGUAGCUGUUUAGAGGAUCCACUCACAUGAGGUACACCUCCUAAUUUUAAUGGAACUUAAAUAUUUUGUAUAGCUAUCCAAAAUCUGUGGAUGAACUGGGUCUUGUGUUGCUUAAAGAGUUUGAGCUCGGACUAAUGUUAGUAUUCUUUGUCACAUUGAACCCGGUAUAUCAAAUGGUUAUAUGGUAUAUUACACAACAACAUCAACACAGGCAACAUUGAUUAGGUUGGUGUGCAUAAGAUGGUCCUCAAUGAGGAAGUCCAUGACAGCCUGCUAAUCCUAGGCGUCAAGGCCGAUCGAAUCCGAUCACGACAAUCUCAUUGUGUGUUAGAUAAGGCAAGAGUUCUGCACUUGCUCCACUGCCACCAUUGCCACUAUUUGCCGCCGGCGCUUGAUGCAGCGGAGUGUGUAAAAGGAGAAUGUGAAUAAGGAAGUGUGCACGGGAGUAGUCCGUACCUUUUUAUCACAGCGAGGGAGUUAACCCACACUAGCUCCACGAUCUGCUGACCAGCGGUUGCCUGGUUCGAGCCAAUCAACAAUUUUCAUUGAGAGCGAGGUGGUGCAGGGCACCUCGUGGAUGACCCUGUGUAUGCUUCAUAACCAAAACAUAGUCUUCUUUUGGUUAUAUGAUUUUCUUCCAUAUUUGUCCCAAUAAAAUUUGGCCCCGUGGUAACUCACAGGCACAUACCUCGACUAUAAUUAUUUCAAAAAAAGAGACAAAAUAUCGCAUAAUAUAUAAAUCAUUUCAUAUAUCAUGGCAGCAAAACCACAUUGUGGUGGUCGCCCUCAGCUACGACAGUGUGCAUUUCUUAGAACUGGGAAUCGUUCGAUUCAGUGUGGAGGAGAGGAGGGGUGGACGAUGCCAUGCAGGUAAGGAGAGAGAGUAGUGAGAGGAAGUUGCGAUCUGAAUGAUGUGGUGCAAGGGGGGAGGCGGCAGUGAGAUACCGUGGAGGGGAGACAUGACAGCGACGAUGAUGUGGCGAGGAGAGCAUGAUGGGGUAAUGAGGUAUGAGUGUGAGCGUUGUGCCAAUGACAGUCAUCCUACUUUUUUUAAGAUGAGAAGAAAAGGAGUGGUUGUUGCUUUUUGUUAGGGAAAAUUGAUUGCUUGCCGUUAGAGAAAUGUCACAUACUUUUUUAUAUAGUGAAAAAUAUCACAUACCCUAGGAAGUCAUUUCUGGAGAAUAAUUACCCACAAGUGAUUUAUAGGUGAGUCUACAAGCAUGAUGCCUCACUUCGAGUAAAAACGGUCACAUGCUCGAAGCAAGCACCUGACUAAUGAAUAUAUACUCUCUCUGUUCAUAAAUAUAAGUCUUGUAAGAGAUUUUAAUAUAGACUACAUACGGAGUAAAAAUGAGUGAAUCUACGCUUUAAAAUACUUCUAUAUUCAUCCGUAUGUAGUAGUCAAUAUUCAAAUAUCUAAAAAGACUUACAUUGGAACGGAGGAAGUAUUAUAUAUGGGCUUAUCUUAGUUUUAUUUUAUUUUAGUAUGUGUUUAUAUACUCACUUUUGGAGAAUAGAGAUAACAACUGAUGGUUUCCAAUGAUGCUUUGAAAAUGUCCAUUGACAAAGCUUUAUGAUAGAUGGACUGAAAACUUAUUGAGUGUCACCCAAUUGAAAGAGAUGCAUACAAAUAAUUAUUCUUUUUUAUAUACUGUUGCACAUGAUAAUACAAAAGGUGUCUCCCCUUCUUAUUUUUAUAUAUGUCUAUUUUUUGCAGGGUAUGAAAGAGAUAAAGAUGUACUAUGUUGAUGUCCAAAAGGAAUCCAUUCGCCAAGAAUGUUGACGCGAUGUUGUUGGAAGGGACCAGAAAAUCAUCGAGUUAUAUACAACAAUACAUGUAUAUAUACAAUCAAAACAAAAAUUAAAAGGCCCGUGGCAACGCACGGGCAUUGUACUA